AUACAGAGGGCCCAAGCGUUAAUCGGAAUUACUGGGCUUAAAGGGUGCGUAGGCGGGUCUGUAAGUGCUUUGUGAAAUCCCACGGCUCAACCGUGGAACUGCUUGGUAGACUGCAGAUCUUGAGGUUGGUAGGGGCUGCCGGAACUCUAGGUGUAGCGGUGAAAUGCGUAGAUAUCUAGAGGAACACCAAAGGUGAAGACAGGCAGCUGGGCCAAUCCUGACGCUGAGGCACGAAAGCGUGGGUAGCGAACGGGAUUAGAAACCCUAGUAGUCC
rnacentral:rRNA from 1 species